rnacentral:rRNA from 1 species
GACGAACGCUGGCGGCGUGCUUAACACAUGCAAGUCGAACGGAAAGGCCCUGCUUUUGUGGGGUGCUCGAGUGGCGAACGGGUGAGUAACACGUGAGUAACCUGCCCUUGACUUUGGGAUAACUUCAGGAAACUUGGGCUAAUACCGGAUAGGAGCUCCUGCUGCAUGGUGGGGGUUGGAAAGUUUCGGCGGUUGGGGACGGACUCGCGGCUUAUCAGCUUGUUGGUGGGGUAGUGGCUUACCAAGGCUUUGACGGGUAGCCGGCCUGAGAGGGUGACCGGCCACAUUGGGACUGAGAUACGGCCCAGACUCCUACGGGAGGCAGCAGUGGGGAAUAUUGCACAAUGGGCGGAAGCCUGAUGCAGCAACGCCGCGUGCGGGAUGACGGCCUUCGGGUUGUAAACCGCUUUCGCCUGUGACGAAGCGUGAGUGACGGUAAUGGGUAAAGAAGCACCGGCUAACUACGUG